ensembl:snRNA U6 U6 spliceosomal RNA
GAGCUCGGUUCUAAGCAUGUGGACUGAAAUUGGAACGAGGCACAGAUUAGCGUGGCUCCUGCACAAGGCUGACAUGCAAACUCAUGAAGCAUUUCAUAGUUUA